AGACUGAAGUGUAGAGACUAGAGUGCUAAGUAGUAGCGCCAACGGUGAAUUGAAUUUAAAUAUGUCACCUGCGUACUACUGCUUACCAUUCUGGUCUCCUAAUUACAUCU